CUGGGAACUAACAGAAAUGUUAGAAAUAGAACUGGUAUUCGAUCAGUGUCACUUAAUCCAAAAACAGUUUGCAGUUUGAGGGUCUGGACAGCCACUUGCCCAGGAGGAUUUUUAAGGACCUGAUAAUCACCAUAAGGAACUUGCAUCCCAAUUGCCUUGCCCCUCCAAUAGGAUCUUCACAUCCUAUGUUGGUCCAUCAGAUCUGGCCUGCCUUGCUUUCAUCAUAUAAAUGUCUCAGCAUGAAGAGAUGGCUCCAGACAACAACAGCCCCAGCCAAGCAAUUCAUUCCCUGGUUAAUUCACAAGAUUCCAAGCAAAUCAGUUAAUCUUCAAUAAAAGAGAUUUAAUAUAAGUCCCAAAAAAACCUCAGGACUCUGAACUCAUCAAGCUGACCAGAACUCGCCUGA